UGCGAUAGCUGCCUCGCACGCGGCCGGCCCGGGGCUGCUCGCUCGGGGCCGUUGCGGAGCGGGCGAGCCCCGCUCGGUGCCCCGGCGUCCCGCCCCCGCUCCUCGCUGGGAUCCGCGGCGCGAGGUGCCCGCUCGUUCACCCCCUGCCAGAGGCGCAGUUUACAGAAGCUCCCUGGCUGCGAGCGGUGCCAGGCCCUGCUGAUGGCCAGGGUUUCCCAAAUAAGGCGGCGAGCGUGCCGUGUUCCGCUGGAACCCCGCUAGGCUGCUCUGGCCCCGGGCCGCGCCGAGGUAACGCCGCGGCCUUUUAAGGAGUCGGCAGCACGAGGGGGUGAUGGACGAUCGCGCUCUUUGGAAGGAGCCUCAGCGGUCUUGUUCCCAGCAGAAGAAGAAGAAGACGAAGAGGGAAAAAAAAUCCAACACUUUCAUUUCUUAGAUAAAACAAAAAUCUGACCUUUGAAACUUCAAAGUUGGCAUCCAGGUUUGCCAUAAUGAGUCACACGUCUCUGCUACACUGGAGGAAAAACCACUGUACUGAAUGCAGUAGGAAAUGCAGGCUGGUGUGUGCACAGCAGGUAACUCAUCAGCUGCAAACCUGACAGGUAGAUGCACCUUUCUGCUGAAAGCAGAAGUGCAGUCAGCUGCACAGCUGCCCACUUGCUGGAGUGUGAGAGAAGGUGGGGUUUGCAAAGCUGCAAAGCCAGGUCAGGUUUGAAAUAACUAGAUGCAACUUAAGAGAUGCAUUAAAGGAGAUGCAACUCCUUUAAUGGUGCUAAUAUGUAUAUUUAUUUUAGAAGAGAAAGUUCUUGCAGUGUGGAUCCAAUCUACUCAUUUAUGAGCUCUUGGUUCACAGGCACCUCUGGGAGUUUCUGAAUGUGUUUGUGUCAGUCCAAGAAGGAACAGGCUGUGCUGGGCGGUGCAGAGGGUCUCAGUUGUCUGUGGCACACAUGGUGGGGUCACAGAGCCUGAAUCAAACUGCACUCAAAUUCAAACGAUUGCUUAGGGUAUUAUUCAAACAAAAAAAGUUUGAACUAGGUUUAAGGACUUAAUAAAUUAUGGAUGAGGAUUGUACUGUAUUUGCUGGUAAAUGGAAAAAGAACGAGAAAUAAAGCUUGUGUUUGUGGAGCCCGCGUUUCUGGUAGGAGGUGAUGGUCAUGUCAGGGCAAGGCUCCGGGUUUGCAGUUGUGAACUUCUGUGGGCGUACUAAUUCCUUCCUUAAUGACACUCUGCAUUUUUAUCACUUCCUUCUUUUACCUGAUAAAUUAGUUCCACUGCUCACUCCCGUAGUGUGUGGACAGUGAUACAGUGAAGCUCAAGGUUGCUCUGAGCAAGCAGGAAACAGAAUGUAGCAGGGUUCCUGUAGUGAUGUGGAGUGGCGGAGGUGCUACAAAGUUUCACGAGUGCUUUGGGCAUAUUUGCAAUUCCCCCCGGACAGCAGGCCAGCUGGAUUCUGGCUAUGUGGGGGGUUGAGCGUGUUGAGAAAGUGCUUUGUUCAGCCAAGCGUCAAGAAAGGGAAAGACUGCAAAUGCCUCUGCUGCGAGUGGUUCAAUCAUGCAGUGCUCGAACUGAGGGAUGUGGCUGCCAUCCUGGCCUGCUGCUGUAGCCUCUUCUGGAACAUAAUUUCUAUGGAAUUCUUUCCCUCUGAAUUGGAGAUUGCUCGUAGCUCAGCAAACUGCCGCUGCCACAUUUGCAGAUGUCCAGUGAUCAUCAAGAUGAUGACUUUUUUUUUCUUGUAAGUCUCCUCCUUGUUCACCUUUAGAAGUCAUAGAUUGAAGAGAAGGGGAUGAGCACAGUGGUCACUGCAACAGACGUGUUGCAGUUGAGAAAAAAAUGCUGUGAAGUUCAGUUUUGUCAGUUGUUCUCUGAAAGGUGUGGGGGAAACUAAUCCAUGAGACAGCCCAAUGGCUGCAAGAUGCUUUCAGCUCAGUUCCUACUGAUCAUGGCAGGCUGGAAUGUAAGCAACAUCAGCUGCAUGGACUGUGCAUCAGCUGCAUGGUGCUAAAGCAGUAGCUUGUUUAUCCUCCUGGUCUUACUUGUGUGUGGUGUUAAUGAAGUCAGAAAACAACCAGAACUGUAACAUGAAACUUUAAAUGGCUUGCAUGGCUUAUGUGACUUGGUAAUAGUCUUGAAAGAGGUCAAAAUCAAAUGUACAGAGAGAAUCCAGCCUGUUUAUCCCAGUUCUGUUCCCCAAGCAGCAGGUCACUGUGCAGUUUAUUAGUGUCAUGUAGCUGCUCACCUCAGCAAGCUGGGCUUCUUGCAGCUGCUCUCUGCCUGAGGAAUUUUUGCAAUAGGAGGAACAGAAUUGUCAACUUCUGGCCAGGAAUCACAUCAUUAAUCCAAGCAGUCAUGUUCCUGCUUUCAGUGUUCAUACCUUUAGAAGGUGACAGCCAUUAACUUACACUGUGCUUCAUAAGUGUGUUUAUGUUAGGAUUUAUUUGUUUGUUUAAUGAUAUUCUGCUUUGUUGCUUUGUUUUGUUUUGUUUUGUUUUUCCAAAAAAAUGCAUGCACCCUACUAGAAAAUUUCCUAGGUUCUCAUCCUUUUUAAAAACAUCUUGGCCUGAUUUGCUGUCAUCUUAGUUUAGCUCCUAACUAGGUGGGGUUCCAAGGAGAAGAUGGAAGUAAUGUCUAAAUGUGGCAAUGAGAGUGGAGAGCUUUGAGCCUAUCACUGAACCCACAAACACACAGUGCAAUGGGCCUCUCAGCUGCAGCACAGCAGGAAUAUUCUAAGUGAAGUUUUUUCUCUACCACAGAGAUUCUUAUGAAAUAAAUUAGCCAUGCUAUGGAAAUAGUACGUAAGCACCCUUCGGAUUAUGAGAAGGCAUUUCAGUUUUACAGUUGUAAUAACAGUACAUCUUCAUGUGAUGUUGCUCAGAUCUGGAUGUCAGACACUUGUGCUUGCUAUGUAGGUAGGGCGGUUCUGCUGCCAGAAAUGAAGCACAGCAUAAACCAAGCAUUAUAAAAGUUAGUCUAGAAAAUGUAACCUAGCGUUAUGUACAGAAGUCAAAAUGCAUGUUUUCUUCCCCUAAGCAGGCGCGAUGUAAAAGUGCUCUUCCUUCUAGAGCUUUGACAUAGAAAGUUCUGGAAAUGAAUGAAUAUGAAUUUAAAGCUUAUCAUCUGCAGCCUUUUAGUAAAUACAUACCAUAUGCAAUACUGACUUGCUGUGGGUAGUGUGCCAAGCACAGCUCCUAAGGCUGCCUAAAACCACAAAGUGGGUAAUUGCUGUAACAGACCCUCACUGAGCACGUGGUUCUGCACCUGGCCAGCUUAUGGUUUCAAGUCUUGGGGCCUCCCCACUUGCUCUAGGUUAGCAUAUCUAUGCAUUGCUGAAUAAUUGCAUGAAUACUGUAGUUAAUAUGGGUAGUUGUAUGAGGAAUACUGCUUUCAGUGGUUUGGGGUUUUUUGAAGAAGGAGGUGUUUUUGUUUUGGUUUGGUUUUGCAUUGUUCUACAAAGGUCUCUGCUGACUCUUCAGCUGCUGGACAGACUUCUGAAGUGUUCUGUUUAUUUCACAUCAAGAGACAGGAGGUCUUGUGUCUACUGCUGGUCUAAGAGUUUGGCAUCCCUAACCAAAGCAGUAGCUGAGGCGUGGUAUCCCUGUACUUAGCCCAUCCUAUCCCCUUGCUCUCACUUGCUCUGGGAAUCCUAUGGAGCCGGGAAAGGCAGCAGAGUAGAGGGGAGGGAGGGGACACAGGCGCAGCAGUAGCCCCUGUGCCCUGCCUGAGGGACCUCAGUGGGUACUGGCAUCCCCAGCCAGCGAGCAACACAUUAUUCUGCCAGUGCAUAUAAAUGGUUCUGAGUUUGCCCACUGUGGAAGAACAAGGCUAAAGAAAAGAGAGCAAUGGCAGGAAGGAGAAGAAAACAGCUGAGAUAAAGGCGAAUGAAAUCAGCACUAAAUAAUAAGAGAAGAGGGAGCAAGUGGGGCCUAUGAACAGAGUGCUGUAAUGGGAUUGGAGCUGCAAUUUGAUUUUUGAUAGCAGACCGCCCGUUGUGGAGUAAUGUCUGCCUUAGGUCAGCUCGGCUCUGGGAGCAGUGUUUUCUCCAUGGCCUAUGAGCCUGGUGGCACCACAGUUGUCUCUCAGUCUGUCCCUGCCUCCUGCUUUAAUGCUGCACACUCAAUGGUUUCUUCUCAGUGCCUUCUUUACAUACUCAGCCCUAUUGGAAAUUUUGCUUUUUCUGUGUUAUCCCAGAUUUCCAGCAGGUUGGGUAACAGAACAAGGGUUCAGUUUUUUCACUGGAGUGUGUGCAUAUCCUUCACUGCAACUUCUGUGGCUGAGGUGAUUCUAGACUGGGCAUUUCUGGUGUUUAGCCCUACCCCCGUUCCAGGAAAGUUUGUUUCCUGGUUACUUUGAGUUGACACAGUAUUUAUAUCAGAAUCGGAAAGUCUCCAAGGAGAUUUCAGGCACUUCUUUACGUAAAACAAAUGAACUGCAGACGUUUGAACACAAGAGAUUUUGUUUUCAUGUUCCAGAAUGUGGUUCUUUGUUUCAAGUAAGGUCUCUCUCUCUUUGCCUUAGUCAGCAUACCUCACAUACCUGUCAAAUUUACUGAGAUGUUCUAGAAAAUGUCUUACCUACAUCGCCUGGCUCUCGGUUGUCUGGUGCUGGCAAUAUCUGUAUACAGCUUUGAGUAGGCAGAAGCUGCUACUCAACACCAUCUCAUCAAGGGCCCAAAGUCAUCAGCUUUUCCAUCUGAUGGCAUAUUGGGUCUUGAAUUUGUUCUGCUAUAGGGUUUCAUGAGGACAAUUAUGUUGCUGCAGGCAGAAAUAUGACUAAGCUGCUCUUGUAUAGAACUUUAUGUCCAUUUAUCAGUUAUAUGUAAAAAUAAUUGUAUUCUUCAUUUCCUCUAUGCCAUCCUAGGUGAGAAAGAUGAAGAUAUAGUGGAGAUUACAGUAAAGAAGUAUAGGUAAUUAAGUUGUAAGGAAAAACAUACUCCACUCUGUUGAUGUAAAGUUGGAAUAUUUUGAGCAAAACUGUUCUUCAGGAAAGUUUUGGAUUUGAAUUCUGUUUCUGGUUUGUUAUUAUCAUUGUUUCCUUGUGUAUUUUUGUUUGUUUGUUUAUUUUAUUUUGCCUAUUAACUUGAAAUUUUAUUUUUAAUCCCUGAAUGGAUUGAAACACCUCUGCAAAGCUUGAGACAAUGCACCUGCUGAGAUGAAGCUGGCACCAAGCCACACAUACUGACCUGACCCUUUCCCAUCCACAUUUAGUCAGGUGAGUAACUUUCCCCACAUAAAGGGUUGAACAAGCCUCCUAGUGUCUGUCUUACACUCAGCUGUUAAUUUGAAGGUGUUAACAUGCACCAUCUGGUCCUGCAAGGAUGGGAUUAGUCAAGCGUAUCAUUACCACUAAUAACUUGUUGAAUGAAAAGUAAAAAUGAAAGCUGAGGAAAUCUGCUAGGGUGUAACUGCUCCUAAAUUAACUUUCCAGCAUUUCUGUCUUAUGGAAUGUCCUAUUUGCCAGGAAACGUGAAGAACCAAUGAACAGAUGACACACAAAAAUGUGUGGGUUUUUUUUUCCUGCUGUCACUGUGGACUGCUCCUUGUUCCCUGUCCCUUGUCUCUGCCAGCCAGCAGGACAGAGCUGGCUGUGCAGCUGCAGAAGUCCUUUUCCAGCCAACAUGCCCACAUUGUGACCUUUGCCACAGAACCAAAGUCUCUGUGGAGAGAACAAUCAUCCUUGUUCAUGCUUUUGGAGAUGCUUCUGUCAAAACCGAAUUGCUCAGGACACUGAACAGCCAUCAGGUCAGGAUGUUGUCAGUGAUGUGGGGUAAGUUACACCUAACAAGGGCAGAAGAAAAUGAUCCUAUAUUAUUCUCUUCAGGUUCUAAAAAUAAUGUUUUUCUUUAGCAACUCUCAGCUGAACAGUACUCCAGAAUUAGUAACUAUUUUAUCAAUAUAUAAGGGUGAGCGCAGCCACCAGAAAAGUGUUAUAAAACCAGCUGGGUAGGUACAUAAGCUGAACAACUUGACCGUGGGUAACAGUGGCCCCAUGGCAGGCAGAGCCAGCCAAGGCAGUGACCUAGAAUUUUGUACUCGAGCUACUAAACCACAUAGAAACAAUUUGAUGAGUGUCCUUUCACAAUGGAGAUGCUGGAAAUACAUUCUCUCCCUUGAAAAAAAUGUUCUACAUUUGGGAUGCAGAGUUCUACACUGCCUUUUCCACUGAAACAAGAACAGUAUAUAUUACAAAAAUAAAAUAAAAUAAAAUAAAUCUGAGAAAGCUGUCCAGUUCUGAUUUUUAUGUUUUUGUUCCAUUGAGUUUUGACUAAAAUCUGGACACAUGAAGAAUAUUUCUCCUUCAGGUCACCGAACUGCGGAUCUCUGAGCUGGUUCCUUCCCCUUUUUCUGGGCUGCUGAAGAUGGUGGUGCUCCCUGGGCUGUAAGGAUGACAUCUUCUGAACCAUUCCCUUUAUCCUGUUUUGCAACACAAGUUUAAGGGGGACAGUUUCCUCUGUUUAUUGCAAUUGAAGAGUGGCUGUGUUUAGAAUGAAGGGCAGUACUGGGGAUGUGUGAAAGCCUUUAUUUGCGUUCUUCUUUUCUUUUUACACUCUUCAGGCAGUGUUGCCAAGUUGCACCUCUCUUAAGUGUGAGAAAGAACAGCACUGCAAAGCAGUGACUUUAAAGAGCCUGGCUGCAUUUUGGCACCUGGUCACUGGAGAUGGAAUGUGUUUAAAACCUUAAGCUCCCUCCAGCUGUCUGUGGUAUACUUGUGGAAAACAACAAUAAUGCUUUUCCUGUUCUUCCUAGAGCCAAAUAUGUCUGUUACAGUCAAGUAACAGAGCAGUGUAAUCUAGUACUGAUAUCCCUUCAAGCUAAACAGGGCACCAUGGGAAGGGAAAGGAAACCAAAAUGUUGGGCUGUGGCUCAGCUUUGCUUGGCCACGCAUGUGCUUGUGGCUUCCCAGCGCCUGCCCAGGCCCCGCUGCUCCAAGGAUAAGACAGUGAUUUAUGACAAGCUUUGUACUUUAAACAAUUUUUCAUUUAAAGUUCUGCUCUUACUAUCCAACUUAUCCUCUUACAGCGAUGAAGGUACAGGCUACACAUGAGGGGAGUAUUGUUAUUUCUGCGGGAUAUUAUUUAAAAUAAAAUUUCUUAAAAAGUAAAAAAAGAAAAUCACCCUAGCUUGUGGUGAGAGCUCUGUUUGCAAACCAUUUUCCUACAUUUUACGUGGAAUACCUCCAGCUCCCUCUUUUGCAUUGGUUGUCUGUGACACGUUCCCAGAACUAAUAAGCCCCUCUUUUUUCCAACAAGAUGAAGGCUCUGGGCCUGCUAUAAUUGCUCCCAACAUCCUGACUCUACCUGGAAUGCUUCCAUCUCCUGGAACAAGCCCAGUGUCUGCUCUGCAAACCGCAGUGUCCAUAGUUUUGGUUGUUAAAAAUACUAAAGAUAUACUUUCUUAAAUGUACCUGUAUGAGAGUUCAAGUGUUGACAGUUCCUACUAGCAUAUGAAGCACAUUUAUUUGAUUUUGACUUUACGCUUGAUGCCCGUUAACAUUUUAAUUUAAAGAUUUUAUUUUACAAAGUUGAUAAAUCUUUUAUUUAAUGACCUUAAUCUUUGUGUCCUUUGCAUAACAACAUUUUAGGUAUUUAUACUGCAUUUCAGUACAAGACACCACAGAAUGUACUUUUCAUCUUAAUUCCUCCUUGUUUCUCUACUUCUCUUUGGAUGAGUGUUGCUUUGUGUAUUUGCUUGCCCUGACAGAUUUUGUGACAAUGGCAACUUUGAAAUCCCAGGCAAAAAAUGCUAUGUGGCUGAGAGACUGGUAUUAACUUUAUAGGAGAGCAAAACUCCCAGCUCUUUCAACAAGCAGAAGUGUGAGAAAAGUGGAUGUGUAUGUUACAGCAGGUAUGAGAUCUGCUGCCCACAGGACACGGAGUGGGGCUGAGGCAGGCUUGAUGUGGUCUUGUGAUGCUGAAGGCAGCUGCUGGUUUCAGUGAAUAAGAAUGGCUCUGGGCACUUUGUCUCUUGAUUUCUUUCUCAUGAAAGUAGCAGGUAGCUCUGAGAGCAUGGUGUCUGGUUCCCACUAGUUGCAGUCUGGAUGUGAACCAGUGACCCGGCUCACAAGUUCAGAGCUGUUAACCCCAUGCAACUUCUUUUACAUUUUAAAAUGGUACAGACCAAAAGCAAAAGAAGAACACAAAGCUGAGUAAGUCAUCGCUUAUAUACUGUGCCACUGGAGCAUUGGAUUUGUUUACUUUUCGUAUUUGCUCUUUUGCAUUUAGCUGCUGCUGUGUUGCCAUCACCUUCUUGAUCAGUGCAGGGACAUCCUGGCCUGCCCAGCACAGCCACUGGGGUAGGGGUGUCUCAGACAUGGUGUGAAGCUCUCUGCCAGGCUGGCCUUGCAGGUUACCUUCUGCUCCUGACUUAAGGAUGAAGUGAGAAUCACUCAACUUUUCCCACUAUUACUGAGUUAUUGUAAUUAGUCAUUGGCAGUUUCUUUGUCCUCAUCCAUUGGGAUGGUGCCUCCCACUCCCUUGCUUUGGCCAAUGGUUACUUAAGGCUCAGUGACUGUUUCUUGCUCUACGUGUGCAGUCAGUUAAUAUCCUGAAACGAUCUUGAUGAUCUGUCAGCAGUUUGUGCAGCUAUUCCUUCUGAGCUUUCACUCAACAUAAAGCAUGAUCUCAGUAUAGUGGCCUGUGAUGAGAUUUUCGUUAAAUUUUAUUUCCAGUAAUUUAGGAUUAGGUUAGAUUCUGUGAAAGAUGAUGUACAAAUUAGACCAAAAAAACAGUUUCUAAUUUUUGACAGGAAAAGACUACUUCACCACUGACAAUUUUGUUUCAUAUUAUUUUCACUUGACUGUAUCGUCCAGUAUCUGACACAUCACGUUAGACCUUGAGAUUUAGCUCAUAUUAGCUCCACUUUGAGAAUUUGUCCAAAGCUCCCUGUAUUUAUUCUUAAUCUCUAGGGUUGCACUAGGAAAUUCAUCAUUCAUCUUUCGUUCCUGACCUAUUAUUAUUAUUAUCUGUGUAUCUUGUUUUACCAUUUUGCAAACAGUCUUUGGCUAAAUCUCCUAGUCACAUCCUUCAGUGCUAAGAUAACCUGAGAUUUUAGCUACAGAUUUCAAGCAUUGCUAUGCGAUUGCAUAGCUGUUGAGAUGAAGGGGGAUUAGUAUAGUUUAGCCUUGAUUGUAUAGGUCAUUGAAAAUCAUGUAUUGGUAGAGUAACAAGCUAUAAGAAUUCAUCCUUUGGUCAAGUCACAAUGCAGCUUAUAUAGACAACAACUCAGCAGUAUUUUUUUCCAUUAGUAAACCACUGACCUUAGGCUCCCUCCAUGGUACCACUCUUCUCAAGUGUGGUAAUGUAAUUCUGUUUGGUACACAGCACCUAUGCAUCCUGUGACUUUAUCAAAUGAAUGCAUAAGCAUUUUGACUUGGCAUUCUUGGCCACUCAGUUUUCUAAAAGUAUCAGUAGCUUUAUCUGCAAUGGCAAAUAGACAGUGAAUAUCUGUACUUAAAUAGUUGGACCAAAAAAACUGCAUCUAUUUCUGUAAAUCCCUAAAGUGAACUGUGAAAUAGUUGCUACUAUUGUGUAAUCCUCUUGUAAUCACCUGUAGUGCUUGCUGAAGAAAUGCAAAUUUUCCAAACUUUAUAAGCAAAAUCAAAACCAGGCUGAGUGCAGUUCAAUAGUUGUGAUGUAGAGACCUGAAUUCUGGAGUCAAUGCUGUGUACUGAUGCAUGAUUUCUCCCAAACUGCUACAUGAAAUAUAUCUGAUUGCAUCUCUGCAGGAUGUUUUAACUACUGUAUGUCAGUAAAACUUGUUGUUUGGAAUGUAUCAAUAGCAACUGUAAUUUUGUUCAUUUGUCAGCAAUAGUCAGGAUUUAGGAACAUUAUCUCCUUCAGAUUUGGAUAACAAAUCCAUAGUGAGAGGGCAUUUUUACCUAUCUCAGAAACUUGUUAUAUCUAGAUUUAUUACUGUCUGCAAAGAAAUGUGAGAUCUUGCAGGAGCACCCUCUAGAAAUCUGAACUUUCUGAAAACAUUUUGGCUAUUUUUCCACUUUUGAAUCAGUGCCCAAACUUUUCCCCCUCUUUUGAGAUCCUGUUUUCAUUGCUGCACCUGCCAAUCUCUUUGUUUUCCCUCAAAAUAAUGUGAUAAACUAAGAAAUCUUAAAGCUUUCAGUUGCUGAAGUAUCUUCUUAGACAUGAAACUUUGCAAUGCCUGUUACUGCUUGGGUUAAGAAGGGGGGCAUUGUUGCUUAGAGAGCUCCCAUAAAUACUGUGUUGAAGCAUCUCAUAAAGAAAAAAUGCAUACUGGGAAAUAAUCAACAGUGAUUCAUUGAUUCCUCACUGCACUCUGAACUGCCUGUUUUCAGCUUCUAAA